UUUUUGAAGAUUAGUUUUGGGGAGCAUUUCCGCCUUUAAUGGAUAGGACCGCUCAGAUAUGAAAGGGGAGAGAGGGGGGGAAGACUUGGAGAAACCCAUCACAGGUCUGAUUCAAACCUUUUGUCGAGGAAUGAACCUCUAUAUACUGUAUGUAUGCCUGCCUUACCAACUGAGCUAACUGUCCACAAAAUAGGAUUAAUUUAAACUAAGUAAAGCACUGUAACAUGAACAUAGUGCGACAGAAUGAUAAAGUCUGAGCAGCAGUUGCUGGUUGUAUUUAGCCGCUACAGAGCUCCGGAACACCGGCUACCAGUUUAACUGCCAAUAGGUGACUGUGAGCCGGCUACAGGCACCGCCAGAUGACGGUCCUUUCAGGGGCCGUGGUAGUGGACUUUAGGCAGGAAAAAGUGAGCGCUAUUCGUCCUUCAAAGUUGGA